GAAUUUUGGACAAUGGGCGAAAGCCUGAUCCAGCAAUGCCGCGUGCAGGAUGAAGGCGUUCGGGUUGUAAACUGCUUGUGUACGGAACGAAAAGCUUUGGGUUAAUACCCUGGAGUCAUGACUGUACCGUCAGAAUAAGCACCGGCGAACUACGUUCCAGCAGCCGCGGUAACACGUAGGGGGCAAGCGUUAAUCGGAAUUACUGGGCGUUAAGCGUGAGCAGGCGGUUUUGUCAGACAGAGGUGAAAUCCCCGGGCUCAACCUGGGAACUGCCUUUGUGACGGCAAGGCUAGAGUACGGCAGAGGGGGGUGGAAUGCCGCGUGUAGCAGUGAAAUGCGUAGAUAUGCGGAGGAACACCGAUGGCGAAGGCAACCCCCUGGGCCUGUACUGACGCUCAUGCACGAAAGCGUGGGGAGCAAACA
rnacentral:rRNA from 1 species